rnacentral:lncRNA from 1 species
UCCCCUGAAUCGCGGCAGCAGCACCGGGGCAGCAAGGUGAGGAUUUUCCUUCUCCGAAUCUACCCGGCUCGGCACGAUGGGCUCGUUGGUGUCCUGCCUCUCCGACCCAAUCCCGUCGAGGAAUAGGUCACCGCCCUCAUAGGCCAGGCGGCGUUCCACCACCUCUUCCCGUGGCCGUGGCAGCGGCGGGAGGGACUCCGUUAUGGCCUCCGUGUUCAUGGAUAGGGAGACGCUUACCACAGCUCGCGUCGUUGUCCUGCCUGCCGAGCUCGGCCUCCAGCUGGCUCCCUCCCCAUCUCCCUGCCAUGGUCAUGCCUAGGCUCUGCUUAACCUCGAUUCCACCUGAGCCCAACGCCGCUGUUCUAGCCAUCCCUGAGUCGAGCUUCAUCUCUCAGCCACCAUCCCUGUGCUAGCGCAUCCCAGCUCCCUCUGCUCACUCUCCCGACCAUGGAGCUCGCCAAGACCUUCUCUGCCUGCUUCACUCCAGGAGCUCACCGCGCCUAGCCAUUUCUUUCUUCUCCCUC